rnacentral:lncRNA from 1 species
AUGAGAGAGGGAGAGAGCUAAGCUUGAGUGGGUGAGCCGAGAGGAGGUUGAGUAGAGUGAGAGUCGAGCAAAAAAGAGAAGGAGAGGAGAGGAAGUGGGUGGCCGGAGAAGAAGAAAAGAAAAAGAGAGAGCUGAAAUCAUGAGAAAGAAAGACAGAAAACAUAAGAGAGAGAAGGGUCACGAGCUAGAGAGGGAAAAAAAAGGAAAGAGAUGAGCAGCCAAAGAAGAAGAAGAAGGAAGCACCGAAGAUGCUGAAGGCU